UCUCCGUUGGUGAACCAGCGGAGGGAUCAUUACCGAGUUUACAACUCCCAAACCCCUGUGAACAUACCAUUUGUUGCCUCGGCGGUGCCUGCUUCGGCAGCCCGCCAGAGGACCCAAACCCUUGAUUUUAUACAGUAUCUUCUGAGUAAAUGAUUAAAUAAAUCAAAACUUUCAACAACGGAUCUCUUGGUCCUG
rnacentral:misc_RNA from 1 species